GCCAGCUGCCAUGUCCUGAAGAUACUAAGGCAACCGUGUGCAGAGGAACUAAAAUACCGAGUUCAACAACAGAUCACAGGUUGCGAGAGGUCUUAAAUCCAUACUCUUCCAGUGACUAGAGCAAAUGCAGCCCUAGGUCUGGCAUCCUGAAUUUUUGUCUUAUUUUUUCAUUAGUACACGAGACUCUACUUUCAUCUUUUUAAAAGGUCUCUUGCUAUCCUUCAAGCAAAGCUAUCUCCAAAUCUGAAGAAGAGACCAAGAAAUAGAAAAAGUAGCACCUCUUGCCUGCUUCCCUGUCUAAUAUUUGAAAGAGUGCCUCCAUCAGAGAGCUCCAUCCAGACCUAGACUUGGACAAUAGGCAGUUGUUUGCUUGCCUCUGGCUCUGCUCACUCUCCAUGGGGGUCUAUAGCUGGUGAUCAUCUUGUAUACCUAAUUCUGGCUUCAUCUUCAGACUCGGACAGCCAGGAAUCCAGGAAUGUGCAGCAUGGAUGCCCAAGUCUGAGUGGAGGUUGCAUCAGUUUCAAAGACAUUGUGCUCUUCCCUGCCGUGGUGGAGUGGUGAGCCGGUUGACAUCCCGGAAAAGGUUGUUAGGGAGUGGAGGUGGGUGGAAGAACCAGAGUCAGACAGUCUGUUCUUCUCUGAUGGUGUCACAUCUGGAUAGAGUGGCUGGAGCUGCUGCAUCCAGCUUGCUACAAGCACAGGGGAUGGCAGAGCUCAGAGAUGGGAUGACCCUGUGUUCUUGAUGGAAUCAACCAGUCAUGCGGAUCCUGCUAUUUCUGGACUGGCUGUUAGACAUCUGACUCAUGAAAAGAAAAAUAGAAGUGAAAAUUGCCAUUUUUCUCAAGAAAUAGCACUUUCUUCCCACAAUAUAAAGAAGACCAUUUGACUUUUAUUACUAAGUUUUCCAAACCACUGAGCAUGCACCUCCACAUGCCUGCAGAGUGCACUGGUUGCCAUUGGGUUGAGUGAAUUCCAGUUACACAUUACUAUCACAGACAAGUAAAGGGUCAAUGAAAUACAUAUUCACGACCCCACAAAUAAUCUUUUCAGUAGUCUGUUUCCUAGUUACAUGAUUUCCCUUUUCUUAAAUCCUUGAAUUAUUUGAUAAAAGUCUCCACAGUGGUGUUUUUACUGUGGCUGAACUUUGGUGGGUAAAGAGAUAAAAGAAAAACUUCAAUCUAUGGCCUUGGGACACACAUGAGAAAUUUGCUACCCAGGUGAGGCACACUUGUGGAAGCCAAAAAUCUUCAUGCUUAUAUCAAAUCCAUGAAUAUUCUGGCUUCUGAACAUGGCCCAAGUACGGGAGGGUUAUGUGCAGUAGUAAACAGAUGACUAAACUACAUCUGAUGCCUAAGUAGUGACUUCUUGGUGAACACACAACUUUUUCACCAUGCUAUCAUGCAAUCAUUUUUAAAACUCGGGAUGUCAUCUUCCUCCCUUGUAAGUUCAAGCCCCCAGAUAUGGCUUAUCAGGCCACUUAUAAUGUGUGUGCUUUCAAGUUCACGAUAUACAUUGCAUUACAUUUAUAAUAUCAGGUGACGUGACACAGCAAAUGAUACCUUCAACUAUCUCCAGCCCCAAUCUUGGGAAAUGUUUCUGGUAGUCCCAGUAGCAGGGACAGCAAGCUAAAAUAAGGGGUUUAACGUUUAAGAUCUCUAAGAGCUGAUACCACUGGGGCAAACUCCCUCAACAAUGAGGUUUUCUCCAACCUCAAAAGAAAGGCCAGUGAACAGUCAUCUGGUACAGGUGGCAUUGCUGGUGGGAGGAGUGGGUUUUCCACGGCUGUACUACACAUUUUGGGAGCCAUCAAUAGCUGGCGCAGUGGAUGCAACACCCUCUUGAUUGUCAGCAGAAGCAAAUCACUAGAAGCCCUGGAACCCUAGUAAAACACCCAAAAGAAAACAUGGAAUUAAAUAUCACGUUGUCAUCCCUGCUGCUUAGGUACAGAAGAGGUACAGCUCUAUUCUGGAAGGAUUUGGAGUCAUUUGAGAGAGCAGCUUUACAUCAGAAGUUUUGACUAGUAUUCUCAUUUUAGGGACAGAUAGUGAUUCUCAUUUGAGGACAGCUGAAAAAAAAAAACAGCUGAAUUAUCACCAACUAGUUUAGGUUAUGUCUUGGGUUGAAUUGUGUUGUCCAAAAAGAUUCAUUGACGCACUAACCCCCAGAACCUCAGAAUGUGACCCUUAUUUGGAAUGAGGGUCUUUACAGAGUUAAUCAGAUUAAAAUAAGAUACGAUUGGCACUAACCCAAUAUGAGUUUUUAGAAAAAGGGGAAAUUUCAACCCAGAGACAUGCAUUGUGGGAGAACUAUAAGAAAAGAUACAGGCAGAACGCCAUGAGAAGACAAAUGCACAGACUAGGGGAUGCAACUACAAGCCAAGGAAUGGCAAAGAUUUCCAGCAAACCACCAGAUGCUAGGAGAAGCAUGGAACAGAUUCU
rnacentral:lncRNA from 1 species